ACUGGAACUGAGACACGGUCCAGACUCCUACGGGAGGCAGCAGUGAGGAAUCUUCCACAAUGGGGGCAACCCUGAUGGAGCAACGCCGCGUGCAGGAUGAAGGCCUUCGGGUCGUAAACUGCUUUUAUAAGUGAGGAAUAUGACGGUAACUUAUGAAUAAGGAUCGGCUAACUACGUGCCAGCAGCCGCGGUCAUACGUAGGAUCCGAGCGUUAUCCGGAGUGACUGGGCGUAAAGAGUUGCGUAGGUGGUUUGUUAAGUAGGUAGUGAAAUCUGGCGGCUCAACCGUACAGGCUAUUACCUAAACUGGCAAACUCGAGAAUGGUAGAGGUCACUGGAAUUUCUAGUGUAGGAGUGAAAUCCGUAGAUAUUAGAAGGAACACCAAUGGCGUAGGCAGGUGACUGGACCAUUUCUGACACUGAGGCACGAAAGCGUGGGGAGCGAACCGGAUUAGAUACCCGGGUAGUCCACGCUGUAAACGAUGGAUACUGGCUGUUUGGGGUAUCGACCCCCCAAGUAGCGAAGCUAACGCGUUAAGUAUCCCGCCUGUGGAGUACGGUCGCAAGACUAAAA
rnacentral:rRNA from 1 species